GUUUUUUCUCGCAGGCUUCAGCUCUUUGGUGAGGGUUACCUUAUGGGUGGCUGUGUUAAAGCAAGCACUUCUUUUCUUCAGGGAGGGUGUAAGAGGAACCUUUUGGCGAGUUAUUGUUUUUGCAGUACUGACCAGCCUAUCGUGCUACCUAGAGAAUAACAUUGAAAACGAGUUUUUUCUCGCAUUUUUCAACGCGGUGGUGAGGGUUUUCCUAUGGGUGGCUG